rnacentral:rRNA from 1 species
UAAACUAGGAUUAGAUACCCUAUUAUUCUAAAUAAUAAAGAAAGGAAUAAGUUAUUUUUUGAAUUAAAAAAUUUGGCGGUUUUCUUACAACUUAGAGGAGUGUGUUUCAUAAGGGAUAAUACACCAUAAAAUUUACUAUUUUUGAAAUUAUUAUACCGCUGUUUUAAAAUUAUUUUUGAUAAAAAUAUUUAAAAUUUUUUUUUAUUUGAAAAAACUUCAAGUACAGGUGAUGUAAUAAAAUAGAGAAAAUGCACUACAAUAAAUAAUUUUAAAACGGAUUAUUUUUAUUAUAUUUAAUAUGAAGGUGAAUUUAUAAGUAAAAUUUUAUGAAAAUUUGAAUUUUGUUCAAGAAAAUGUACAUAUCGCCCG